GACGAACGCUGGCGGCGUGCUUAACACAUGCAAGUCGAACGAAAAGAGGGAAAGAGCUUGCUCUUUCCGGAAUUGAGUGGCAAACGGGUGAGUAACACGUAAACAACCUGCCUUCAGGAUGGGGACAACAGACGGAAACGACUGCUAAUACCGAAUAAGUUCCAAGAGCCGCAUGGCCCAUGGAAGAAAAGGUGGCCUCUACCUGUAAGCUAUCGCCUGAAGAGGGGUUUGCGUCUGAUUAGCUGGUUGGAGGGGUAACGGCCCACCAAGGCGACGAUCAGUAGCCGGUCUGAGAGGAUGAACGGCCACACUGGAACUGAGACACGGUCCAGACUCCUACGGGAGGCAGCAGUGGGGAAUCUUCCGCAACGGGCGAAAGCCUGACGGAGCAACGCCGCGUGAGUGAUGACGGCCUUCGGGUUGUAAAACUCUGUGAUCCGGGACGAAAAGGCAGAGUGCGAAGAACAAACUGCAUUGACGGUACCGGAAAAGCAAGCCACGGCUAACUACGUG
rnacentral:rRNA from 1 species